rnacentral:lncRNA from 1 species
GCCUGCGCGGUAGUGGGACCCGACCCUGUCUCCAGUGGGCGUCUUGGGCCCCGGCUCUAUUCUGGGCUGCGGGCCUGGGAAGGGCUCGCCGGGUGCCAAAUGAGCUGUCCUAACUCUGCGGGGCUGCAGCUUCCUGCAUGAUGCUGGGGAGCUUGGCGCCUGACCCAGGAUCUAGAAGGCACUCUGGGCAGGCCGCGCUCCGCCCACGAAGGUACCCAACCCUCUGGGAUAGAUGCAGGAAGCGAUGGUUAAGACCCAUUUUCACCCAACUUCUCGCCGCAGGUCUGGCUUACCACACGCUCCUCCCCAUUCCCAGUGAGCCGCUUUUUGCAGCACCAGGCGAACACUUACACCAGUGCUUUGUAAAGGAAUCUUAUUGUCCACCCCGUGUCUUGGCAAAAGAACAGUGAUCACACAGAUUCCUACUUGGGCUCUUUCCUUUAAUCUUCGGAGGCUGAGUUUGCCCAACUCAGGUUUAACCACCAAGGACUCUGAGAGCUGGCAGGUCUGAGUAACCCUGGUAACAAUUCUCUUCACCUUAUCAAAACCUGAGCUAAAACCAAUGCAUCAGCUGAUGAUGACAGCAGAGAGUGGCAGGGCUGAGGACCCAAAGUCAUUUCCCAGGCUGGCGGAGAAUAAACUGCCAGGGAGAAGAAUGAGAAGACAGGAGACAAACUGUUUGGAAAGCUAAAUCUUCCCUCUUAAUGAAUAAAGGUUUUUGCCUUGUCUUAAAGUUUCUGAGUCCUAAUUUUGGCAAAAUAAAUAACUUAUGGUAAUCUGGAAUUGUAUUUUGUAAUAUUAAGUGUUUUGAACCUCUAACAUUUACUUCCCAAAAUCAAACUUCAGUUUCAAAAU